CGGAGAGUUUGAUCCUGGCUCAGAGCGAACGCUGGCGGCGUGGAUAAGGCAUGCAAGUCGCGCGAUCCCCGCAAGGGGAUAGCGGCUAACGGGUGCGUAACGCGUGGGGAACUUGUCCUGGAGACAGGGAUAGCACUGCGAAAGCGGUGGUAAUACCUGAUAAGCCCAGAGCCUCGCAUGGGGUGACGGGCAAAGAUGGCCUCGACCGCAAGGUUGCUAUCGCUUCAGGAGGGCCCCGCGUCCCAUCAGCUAGUUGGUAGGGUCACGGCCUACCAAGGCGUGGACGGGUAGCUGGCCUGAGAGGGUGGUCAGCCACACUGGGACUGAGACACUGCCCAGACUCCUACGGGAGGCUGCAGUCGAGAAUCUUUGGCAAUGGGCGAAAGCCUGACCAUGCGACGCCGCGUGCGGGAUGAAGGCUUUCGGGUCGUAAACCGCUGUUACGAGGGACGAAGUCCGGCCCGUCAAACAAACGGGCGGGAUUGACGGUACCUCGAGAGAAAGCCACGGCUAACUCCGUGCCAGCAGCCGCGGUAAUACGGAGGUGGCAAGCGUUGCUCGGAUUCAUUGGGUGUAAAGGGCAAGUAGGCGGCUUCGCAAGUCGGGUGUGAAAUCCCACGGCUUAACCGUGGAACUGCGCCCGAAACUGCGGGGCUUGAGGACGGGAGAGGCGAAUGGAAUUCCCGGUGUAAGGGUGAAAUCUGUAGAGAUCGGGAGGAACACCAGUGGCGAAGGCGAUUCGCUGGACCGUUUCUGACGCUGAGAGGCGAAAGCUAGGGGAGCAAACAGGAUUAGAUACCCUGGUAGUCCUAGCCGUAAACGAUGGGCACUAGGUGUUGGGUCUUUCGGGGCCCAGUGCCGUAGGUAACCCGUUAAGUGCCCCACCUGAGGAGUACGGCCGCAAGGUUGAAACUCAAAGGAAUUGACGGGGGCCAGCACAAGCGGUGGAACAUGUGGUUUAAUUCGAUGC
rnacentral:rRNA from 1 species